rnacentral:rRNA from 1 species
GACGUAGGGCGCGAGCGUUGUCCGGAUUUAUUGGGCGUAAAGAGCGCGCAGGCGGUCGUUCAAGUCGCGUGUGAAAGCCCCCGGCUCAACUGGGGAGGGUCACGCGAUACUGAUCGACUCGAAGGCAGGAGAGGGAAGUGGAAUUCCCGGUGUAGUGGUGAAAUGCGUAGAUAUCGGGAGGAACACCAGUGGCGAAGGCGACUUCCUGGCCUGUUCUUGACGCUGAGGCGCGAAAGCUAGGGGAGCAAACGGG